GACGAACGCUGGCGGCGUGCUUAACACAUGCAAGUCGAACGGUAAGGCCCUUCGGGGUACACGAGUGGCGAACGGGUGAGUAACACGUGGGUGAUCUGCCCUACACUUCGGGAUAAGCCUGGGAAACUGGGUCUAAUACCGGAUAGGACCACUGCCUGCAUGGGUGGUGGUGGAAAGCUUUUGCGGUGUGGGAUGGGCCCGCGGCCUAUCAGCUUGUUGGUGGGGUGAUGGCCUACCAAGGCGACGACGGGUAGCCGGCCUGAGAGGGUGACCGGCCACACUGGGACUGAGAUACGGGCCAGACUCCUACGGGAGGCAGCAGUGGGGAAUAUUGCACAAUGGGCGCAAGCCUGAUGCAGCGACGCCGCGUGAGGGAUGACGGCCUUCGGGUUGUAAACCUCUUUCAGCACCGACGAAGCGCAAGUGACGGUAGGUGCAGAAGAAGGACCGGCCAACUACGUGCCAGCCGCCGCAGUAA
rnacentral:rRNA from 1 species